UGGGGAAUAUUGGGCAAUGGGCGAAAGCCUGACCCAGCAACGCCGCGUGAAGGAAGAAGGCUUUCGGGUUGUAAACUUCUUUUACCAGGGACGAAGGACGUGACGGUACCUGGAGAAAAAGCUCCGGCUAACUACGUGCCAGCAGCCGCGGUAAUACGUAGGGAGCAAGCGUUGUCCGGAUUUACUGGGUGUAAAGGGCGUGUAGGCGGAGACGCAAGUCAGGAGUGAAAUCCCCGGGCUCAACCCGGGAACUGCUUUUGAAACUGCGUCCCUUGAGUAUCGGAGAGGCAGGCGGAAUUCCUA
rnacentral:rRNA from 1 species